GAUUUUAUCUUCAUACUUGAAUUUUGGUUCGAUCGUUUACCUACCAGAAGAUCUUAUCUUCAUGUUUGAAUUUUUGAUUUGAUUUUCACCAAUCAGAAGAUCUUAUCUCCAUAUUUGAAUUUUGGUUCGAUUAUUUACUAAUCAAAAGAUCCUAUCUCCAUUCUUAAAUUUUUGAUCCGAUCUUUACCGAUCAGAAAAUCUU
rnacentral:lncRNA from 1 species